GUUGUUGUUGCUCAUAACUGUGUUCCUUUUGUUCCUCACACUGAUAAUGAAGUCAAGUUUGGAAAUGUCUGGUCUCGAUGGCUUUAGAAACGUCAUCAUAUCUAAGCUAACUCAUCGAAGCAGAAGAAGCGAAUAUCCAAAAUGUCAGUCUCCUUGCUAGGUCUACACAAUGCUGUGAUGUUAACCACGGAACUUCAUCCGUCUCGGCUGUUGCAUUGCGAUAACAAAUCCAUUUGAGUCACGUAAUCAACAGGCUAUCUGCCCGUGUUAAGUAGGGAGGGAUGGUUAGGCAACCAAAUGUAAUGCACGCCCCUACGUUUUUUCUUCUUCUAACAGUUAGCAUGAAACGAGGAAGGGACACAGCGUCCUUUUUUUGGCCCCAGGAAACAAAAAAGUGAGAGAACAGCAGUGAGAGAAACAAAUGAAGGUGUUGAGAGAGUUGAGGAGCAGGAAGAGGGAGAGCUGGAGGAGUCUGGGGAGGUUGGAGAGAGAGCAUGUGAUGAAAGUGGGGGCUCUGACACAGAGAGGGAAAUUCCAGAGGGUGAGGAGGAGGAAGAAGAAGAAGAGGGUGAGGACCGGAGGAAGAAAACCUACAGGGACAGAGAGAGGGGACAGCAAGUGGAUCCAUGUGGAUCAAGUACUGCCCCAUCAGAUAUCAGCAAGUCCAAGAAUGAUGUACCAGUACAGCCCAACUUGAAUAUAUUCCCAACACUUUUGAUGGGGGGCAGAAGACGGAGCUUCAGGCCAAACUGGUUGAGAGGACAACUAGAAGCAUCCUGUGUUUUGCUCAGUGAAAUGAACAGAUGCUUGGGAUGGGACCUGGAGUGUGUCCGUAAAUGUUGAGACGGUUGCAGGUGGACUGGUGUUUACAUGGUCCGGGGGAGCUGGAAGUCCGCAGCUGUGUGGCGGCUGCAGUGCUUUUAUGUGUCUCCUAGCCGCAGAUCUGCAGCCUCAAUGGAUGUCAUCUGGGAAGAAGAAGAGGAGCCUUGUAGAGACCAGCUGAAGGGACGUCUUCUCUGAGCUGAAGCUCUGAGAUGAGUGCAGAGUUUCCGGACCACAACGGAGAAGUUCCUUCACUCCAUUCAUGCCGCCUUCUCUCCGUACUCACUGUAUACUCAUAGUAUUGUAUGUCAUGAAAUAAUUUAAAGUAAAGUAAAGUAAGUAAUAGUACGUAUAAUGUCAAAAAAAGCUCAGAAAAGUCAUACAUAAUGUCAAAAAGUGUUAUUACAUAGUUAUUACAUUGUUAUAACAUGUAUUAGGACAAAAAUCUAUCAAAAAGUCACAGAAAGUGUUAUUACAUAGUUAUUACAUUGUUAUAACAUGUAUUAUGAAAAAAUCUAUCAAAAGUCACAGAAAGUGUUAUUACAUAGUUAUUACAUUGUUAUAACAUGUAUUAUGACAAAAAUCUAUCAAAAAGUCACAGAAAGUGUUAUUACAUAGUUAUAACAAUGUAAUAACAUGUAUUAAUGACAAAAAAUCUAUAAAAAAAGUGUUAUUACACAGUUGUACACAGUACAUGCCAUAAAAGUGGGCGUAAAUAAUUUUUUCGUCCAUGAAAAAAAAAAAAAAUCAUCAAAUUUUUUUUUUUUCUUAAAUUAGGAUGUUCUCUUCCUUUGUCCUACUCUGGUCUCUUCCUUUCUCUGAGGUGUCCUACUCUGGUCUCUUCCUUUCUCUGAGGUGUCCUACUCUGGUCUCCCUGUUGUCCUACUCUGGUCUCCCUUUCUCUGAGGUGUCCUACUCUGGUCUCUCCCUUUCUCUGAGGUGUCCUACUCUGGUCUCCCCUUUCUCUGAGGUGUCCUACUCUGGUCUCUCCCUUUCUCUGAGGUGUCCUACUCUUCUCUGAGUUGUCCUACUCUGGUCUCUCCCUUUCUCUGAGUUGUCCUACUCUGGUUUCUGCCUGUCCUUGUCUUAAUACUCUCCUACUCUCUUCUUGCCUGCACUUCCUUUCCUAGCC